rnacentral:rRNA from 1 species
CCUGGUGUUUAUGAGGCUAUGGAACCACUCCGACCCAUCUCGAACUCGGAAGUGAAACGUAGCGCUGGCGAAGAUACUUUGGGGGUAGCCCCAUGUGAAAAUAGCUCAAUGCCAGGA